UACGUAGGGGGCUAGCGUUGUCCGGAAUCAUUGGGCGUAAAGAGCGUGUAGGCGGCCCGGUAAGUCCGCUGUAAAAGUCAAAGGCUCAACCUUUGAAUGUCAGUGGAUACUGCCGGGCUAGAGUCCGGAAGAGGCGAGUGGAACUCCUGGUGUAGCGGUGGAAUGCGCAGAUAUCAGGAAGAACACCAACGGCGAAGGCAGCUCGCUGGGACGGUACUGACGCUGAGACGCGAAAGCGUGGGGAGCAAGCAGG
rnacentral:rRNA from 1 species